UACGUAGGGGGCAAGCGUUGUCCGGAAUCAUUGGGCGUAAAGCGCGUGUAGGCGGUUCGGUAAGUCUGCUGUGAAAGUCCAGGGCUCAACCCUGGGAUGCCGGUGGAUACUGUCGGACUAGAGUACGGAAGAGGCGAGUGGAAUUCCCGGUGUAGCGGUGAAAUGCGCAGAUAUCGGGAGGAACACCAAUUGCGAAGGCAGCACUCUGGGACGUGACUGACGCUGAGACGCGAAAGCGUGGGGAGCAAACAGG
rnacentral:rRNA from 1 species